rnacentral:rRNA from 1 species
GAUGAACGCUGGCGGCGUGCCUAAUACAUGCAAGUCGAGCGAACAGACGAGGAGCUUGCCCCUCUGACGUUAGCGGCGGACGGGGGAGUAACACGUGGAUAACCUACCUAUAAGACUGGGAUAAAUUCGGGAAACCGGAGCUAAUACCGGAUAAUAUAUUGAACCGCAUGGUUCAAUAGUGAAAGACGGUUUUGCUGUCACUUAUAGAUGGAUCCGCGCCGCAUUAGCUAGUUGGUAAGGUAACGGCUUACCAAGGCGACGAUGCGUAGCCGACCUGAGAGGGUGAUCGGCCACACUGGAACUGAGACACGGUCCAGACUCCUACGGGAGGCAGCAGUAGGGAAUCUUGCGCAAUGGGCGAAAGCCUGACGGAGCAACGCCGCGUGAGUGAUGAAGGUCUUCGGAUCGUAAAACUCUGUUAUUGGGGAAGAACAAAUGUGUAAGUAACUAUGCACGUCUUGACGGUACCUGAUCAGAAAGCCACGGCUAACUACGUG